GGGACGAGGUCGAAGUCGAGAGGGAAAGUUCGUCCGCCCAUCGCUACUGUCGUGGAAGACGUAAUCGAAGUAUGGAACAGGGAACUCUGGAAGAAGUCCGAGAAGAGCUGAUAAGAAACAGUUAAUAUUUCCGAAGAUGUCACUCAAGUGAGUUUCCUCGCCGCCGAAUUUUCUCGAAAUUGCGAAUCUUUACGACCAUGAAGCCCUAAUUGCAGCCCGGAAAGGCCGAAACUUUACCAGUUUUCCCGGUCGUUCUUCGAGGGUACAGAGUGAGCUCUCUAUAAUGCGAGAAAUGAUUCGUUUCCCGUCAAGUUCAGGUGGAUGCUGAAGACCCUUUUCUCUCAUGAGAAGAAUUUAGUGUUUUCCGCUGUGAAUUGGUUGAUUUGGGUUUCAAGCUCGUGUUUUGCAAUACUUUCGGAGUGUAGUUGAUGGGAAUAACACCAAUGGUUUAUCUUAAUAGAAUCACAGAUGGAUGUGUUGCGGACAUUGCUGCAAACCUUGAAUCCAUGGAACCCUGUCGAAGCGUCAAGUGCCGGUGAGGGGGCAAAUUCCUCGUCUUUAUGUCUAUGGAAGUUUUUCACUCAGUGGAUUCUGGGAUCGGUCUGAGCAUGAAAGCUGAGGCAGAAGAAACCGGAGACAUAAGUCCUGGAAAGGUUAUUACACAUCUACUUCUUCGUGUUCUGGCAUUUCAGAUCUUUAAUUGGUGAUACAAUGUUAUUGACGAUAUGAACAAGCAGACCAUAACAGCAGAUACCAUCGAAUGGGAAAAAAAACAGGACUCAGGUUUUCUUUCAUGGCAGCAGCCAAAGUGGAACAAGCUUAUUGUCACCAUGCCAUCUUCCUUCAUCCGUUACAAUAACCCAAGUUGUUCUUGGUGUUCCAAACAAUAAAAACCUCUCCAGAGAGGUAAAAUCUUUGGAUAUACCAAACUGAAAAACUCGCCUCCUGGUCCAAGAGACACAGAAACAGCUCCAUUGUUUCACUGUAAUGUGCUCGAGGUAUAUAUAACGUAGAUACAGUGGAGAAUUCCGUGUUCAAACCGAAAAAAGCUGAUCAAUUUGAGGAGAGUUUUCGACGGUGGCAACAGGCCUUUCUCCUACCGGUUAUGACUGUACGGUGAUCGGUACCGGCGACAAUCUCAACUUCUACUGUCGGAAACUUUGUCUUCAUGUUCCGAAU